rnacentral:rRNA from 1 species
UACGUAAGGAGCGAGCGUUGUUCGGAAUCACUGGGCUUAAAGGGCGCGUAGGCGGGUGAUCAAGUCCGGGGUGAAAUCCUCCAGCUCAACUGGAGAACUGCCUCGGAUACUGGUUGCCUCGAGGAAGGUAGGGGUGUGUGGAACGUUCAGUGGAGCGGUGAAAUGCAUUGAUAUUGAACGGAACUCCGGUGGCGAAGGCGACACACUGGACCUUUUCUGACGCUGAGGCGCGAAAGCUAGGGGAGCAAACGGG